rnacentral:tRNA from 1 species
GGGGUUGUAGCUCAGUGGUAGAGCACUUGCCUCUCAUGUGAGAGGCACUGGGUUCAAUUCUCAGCACCACA